AAUGUGAUCUUACCUGGAGAUGAGACGUGACAGAAGAGAAGCAACAACAGGAACUUUUUCAUCUUGUUUUGAUAAAGACGUGUCUGAGGACCACAGCAGUCAACUCAGCCGACAGCC